UGUUUGCUUGUUGACGUCCGUCUCCUAACCUCUAACUCUGCUCUUGUUCUCCAGGACCUAGGGGGUUCAACCCAACACCCAGAUCCAUCCGAUGUCCUCCGUUACCUGUUCUCCAGGACCUAGGGGCUCUGCCCAACACCCACCUGAUGUCCUCCGUUACCUGUUCUCCAGGACCUAGUGGUUCUACCCAACACCCACCUGAUGUCCUCCGUUACCAGGAAAUCUCGUCUGGAGUGUCCAGCUUGAUUCUCUUUGCCCCUGGGGCAUGGUUCUAUAGGAGACGGUACAGGAGGAGGUUACACACACAGUUCUAUAGGAGAUGGUACAGGAGGUUACACACACGGUUCUAUAGGAGACGGUACAGGAGGUUACACACACGGUUCUAUAGGAGACGGUACAGGAGGUUACACACACGGUUCUAUAGGAGACGGUACAGGAGGAGGUUACA
rnacentral:lncRNA from 13 species